rnacentral:misc_RNA from 1 species
GAUUGAGUCAAUAGUAAUAAU